rnacentral:misc_RNA from 1 species
CAUUUCAUCGAGAUCUGAGUAACCUUCAUUGUCUGUUUUUUCUUAUCAAUGAAUUUGGAAAUAAAAUGAUUGACCGGGGAUGUAUAUUAUUCAAUCAAAAAUGCGACUAUAUUGUAUACAUUUAUGUAUUUUACAAAUUACCUAAAUCAACUUGUUCGCGACAAAAUGUUAGCGAUAUUAGCGAAUGCGAAAAUAACAUUUAUUAUUCAGUUGCUUUACAAUAUUAGAAUUAAAUUAAGCUUCUCAUCAAAAACUUCUUUAGCUAAUGAAAGUUGUUAAGCACAAGGUUAUUUUACGCAUCAACCUUUAAACCUGUAACACAUUUGCUUCUGCGAAAUGGUGAUUUAAAUUUCACGUCGAUCUACAAGAACAUGCUCUUUCCUUAUUCAUUUAGAAUGUUUAUUGCCAGUGAUUAUAUUGUCUUUGUGCUUGUACCAUUUAUAGAGUAUUUUUUGAGAUUUGUCAGAUUUAUUUGAAAGAAUGAAACUUGUUUUAUUUACAAUAAAUUAUGUAAUUUUC